GAUGAACGCUAGCGGCAGGCUUAAUACAUGCGAGUCGUGGGGCAGCAGGACUGUAGCAAUACAGUUGCUGGCGACCGGCAAACGGGUGCGGAACACGUACGCAACUUCCCCUGAACUGGGGGAUAGCCCGGGGAAACUCGGAUUAAUACCCCGUAAUAUAAUGGAGUGGCAUCACUUUAUUAUUAAAGCUCCGGCGGUUCGGGAUGGGCGUGCGGCCGCUUAGGUAGCUGGUUGAGGUAACGGCUCACCAAGCCUACGACCAGUAACUGGUGUGAGGGCACGACCAGUCACACGGGCACUGAGGCACGGGCCCGACUCCUACGGGAGGCAGCAGUAAGGAAUAUUGGGCAAUGGAGGCAACUCGGACCCAGCCAUGCCGCGUGGAGGAUGAAGGCCCUCUGGGUUGUAAACUUCUUUUAUAGGGGACAAAACCUGUGUAUUCUUACGCAGUUGACGGUACCCUAGGAAUAAGCACCGGCUAACUCCGUG
rnacentral:rRNA from 1 species